rnacentral:lncRNA from 1 species
CCUCCCCUGGAGCCUGCUGCCGGAGGGCUGCCGCAUCCAGUGGCGGCGCAGGACCGACAAUGUCCUGCUGGUGGCGGCGGCGGUUUCGGAAUCACCUCUGGACAUGGAUGACACGACGACGACGCUGCUGCCGCCUGGCCCGGAGCACGAGCCCUGUACGGCGGGCGGCAUUGCUUGCACCACCGGCGGCUGCAAGAAACGGGCAUCGCCCGCCGCUGCUGUGCCGAUGCCAGCCGGUGCGGCUGAUGUGGCGGAGGAGGCGGAGGAGGCGGAGGAGGCGGAGGAGGCGGAUGAGGCGGAGGAGGGCGGCCCUGCUGCCAACAAGCGCCGCCGCAUGUGCUCACUGGCGGCGGCGGCGGCGGACGCCAUGCCUGCGGGUGAGGGUGGCGAGGGCGGUGAGGGCACAGAGGGCAGCAAGGCCGGCGACAUGGAGAAGGCCUGCCCGCCUAGCGCUCCGCAAUCGUCAGCGGCUGUUGCGGGGGCUGCGGCGGCGGCGGCGGCUUCUGCUGCCGAGGGCGUCGCGACGCCCGCGGACGCGCUGCAAGAGGCAGCUCCCGCUUCUGGUUCCGCCGCUUCUGUGGCACGUUCCGCCACUAUUACCGCCGCGGCGCCACAGCCGCCGCAGCAGACCUGGCCGGUCGCCGUGAAGAUUGAGCCUCAAGCGGAAGAGCCGGUGGCUGUGACCUUGAAGCAGGAGCGCGUCGCGGCAGAGCCAGCUGCAGGGUCGCUACCCGCCGCCAUUGCAGCAGGUCCAGCCGGCGGCGGAGCUGCCGCGGCAGCAGCCGCCGCAGCAGCACCAGCACUACCAUCAGCACCCGCAUCCGCACCCGCAGCAGGUGACUGCUGCCGCUUUCGCCUCAUCAGCCGGCGGGCACCAGCAUGGCAGCAGCACUGCCAGAGGGCCGGCGCCGGGGCAGCAGCACCAGCAGCACCAGAGAGACCUCGUCAGCAGCAGGGCGCCACCGGCGCCCGCCAGCACUCCUGCCGCCGCUGCUGCCGGCCCUCCUACGGGCGCUGAUGCUCUCAGACCGGAGCUGCUUCUGCGGCAGCAGUCAUCAAUGACCACGAAUGGUGCCGGUGUUGCUGGUGCGCCCACCGAGAAACAUGGGGCGCCAACGCCGCAGGAGGGCGACCUGAUGGGUUCGCUGGGGAACAUGCUGUCGGCCGCCGCCGCCGCGAACCCAGCCGCCGUCGUGAAGCUGCUGCAGCAGCUGCAGCGCGAGCUACUGCAGGGCGGCGGCGGCGGAGGAGGAGGAGACACGGAAGGCAGAGGAGGAGAUGCCUACGCUGGCGAGGAGCGUGUUUUGGCCGCCGCAGUUGCAGCCACAACCGCCGGCUCCAGGCCCACCGCCGAAGACUCCAAGUCACCGGCACGGCAGCAGCAGCUGCUACAGCCGCCGCCACCGCCAUCAUCGUCGGUGGAGGCGCUACAGCCGUCGCUGCGUGCUGCGCUGGCUGCUGCGUCCUGCUGGUGGCGGCGGCGGUUUCGGAAUCACCUCUGGACAUGGAUGACACGACGACGACGCUGCUGCCGCCUGGCCCGGAGCACGAGCCCUGUACGGCGGGCGGCAUUGCUUGCACCACCGGCGGCUGCAAGAAACGGGCAUCGCCCGCCGCUGCUGUGCCGAUGCCAGCCGG